GUGACCCACUAAUCUUCCAUCCUUCAAAGGUCCAUGGACCCGAGAUUAAGAACCCCUCAACGAGACCCGAAAGAAGUGAUGCAUAUGGCUCUAUAAAGGCUGAUCAGCAGCGAUGUGCCGUGGUGCCAAGUCUCUCUCAGCCAGGAACCUACUUCCUGCCGACUAGAGGGAGCUGCGGAUGCCCGUCGCCCUGCAGUCCCUCAUGCAGGAGAGAGGAAGAUGCCAAAGGGCCGUGGAAACGGCAGCAAAGGAGGGCUACAGAUCCGGGAAUCCAGCCAGUACCCUGCUUAUCCCAGGGCCCCACUUUCUACCACCUGGGAAGGGACGAUGACCUUCAGUUUGCCUCCACAAUCCCAGCACACUCAUGGCCAUGACCCAUUCAUCACACAGGUGACAUACAGGCCGAGCACUUCACUUCCUGCAGGUUUACAGCAAGAACAGAAUCCCAUGAGAUAAUGUAAGGGGGAAAGGCGUCCUGGCCUGAAUGUCUCCUCCCCUCAGCCAUAGGGAUUGGCUCUGGGAGAGACACGUGAGCCAAGCACGGCCAAUCAGAGUGGGCCCUGGACAUUUUGCUGCAAUUUCUGACGGAAACAGAUGGGUGGUAAGGCAGGGGGACUGCUGAGGACUUCUUUGCCACCUGAGGGUGAGCAGAGGUGGGGCAGGAGGAAGGGGCCGAGAAUUAAGUUAAACCUGAGAAAGGCAGAGUCUGGAAAUAAAGAGGGGUAAAUUCCUGAUGAGAA